GUGCUCACUUCAGCAGCACAUAUAGUAAAAUUGGAAUGAUACAGAGAACAUUAGCAUGGCCCCUGCUCAAGGAUGACACGCAAAUUUGUGAAGUGUUCCAUAUUAAA
rnacentral:snRNA from 1 species